AAAUAAAGACAGGGGGGCGACGAAAAGUUCACGAAUAGAACUUGAAUUGCCGUGGAUUAUUUAUAUUUUUUUAUUUUUUGUUGUAAUCUUUCUUUUUAAUGUGUUACGUUUAUAUAUUACGUCGAAUGUACGUCAAUCUUCUUUUAUAUCGCAUCAUAUAAAUCGCCGAGGAGGCGAUGACGCGAUGUUUCGGCUUUCGAAGGACAAUUAUGGAGACAAUUGCAACCUCGUACGUACUAUUUGUGAUGAUUUCCAUCAAGUAAAAAGGUACAGUAUGAAUUUGAAAAUGUCUAAAAGUAUUUUAUUGUUACAAAUUAUUUAGCAGAUUCCCAUGAGUUAACACGUGCACGUGCACUCUGGCGAAUAUCGCAAUGUUGGCAAUGCGGUUGCCUUUAAUUAUUUGUUAUUGACCAGCUCUAUGAAAUAUAUAUUUCGAAGGCUGUUAUAUUUUAUACAGUAUGUUAUAGCUGAAUUUGUAUUUUAAAUAUCGAGAAACACAUGGCCAGACAGUGGCCUAUAAUAUUAUACUCGGACUCUCAGUAAAGUCUACUUCUCACAUGAUUAUUAUUUACAAUUGAUUGAUUUAUCACAGCAGUAUUAACUUCAAAUAUUUACUUUGUUUUUUUACAUUUACAUUUAAUGACCUGAAAUUAUUUAAAUAAUUAAACCAUUAUUAAUAACAGAGUGGCCAGGUUGACAAAGCUAAAAUCUGAUGAACCUCAAGGUCUUGAACUGCUAGGAUAUUUUAAUAGUCAAACAUCAGUUUCAGCAUUUAUGAGUUAAUGAGUAUUUUUAAUAUCCAUGACAACUGCAGCUGGUCAGGGAUUUUUUAGGGAAAAGGUUUAGCACCCCAUCGUAAAAACCUGCCCCCGAAUCUCAAACUUUCAUUAUUUUGUUCCCUUGCCCCUACAUAUAUUUUGUUCCCUUGCCCCCUAUACAAAGGUACAAACCUUUUGUACCCUUGAGAUCUUUUAAAAAAUUGCCUAACUCAGCAGUGUGGCUUGUAACCUUGUUGCCAUAAUUAUUUUCUGAAGGCUUCAAUAAAUUUCUACUCUAACACCUGACAGAGAUGGGGGCCAUAUGCAUGAACAAGAAGAAAUGAUUUCUUCAUCUAUCGACCCCUUACCUUUCACCAAAUUUUUUAAUAAAUUAAUUUAUUAAAUGAUUUUGAAGUUUUCUAGAUUAUUGAAAAGAAAUUUAUGGGUACAAGAUAUGGGGCAGAAACAGUUAAAUUAAGCAAGAUAUAUGCAAGUAACAAUGAACAAGACCAGAUCACUGGAUGGUAUUUCAGCACACUGGUGGACAUGCAACUUAAUACCUGCACCUGUGUCACAUUUAUAUAGUUUUACACUGUACUGUCUGGAAAAAU